rnacentral:rRNA from 1 species
ACUCCUACGGGAGGCAGCAGUGGGGAAUAUUGCACAAUGGGCGCAAGCCUGAUGCAGCCAUGCCGCGUGUAUGAAGAAGGCCUUCGGGUUGUAAAGUACUUUCAGCAGUGAGGAAGGUGGGUAUGUUAAUAGCAUACUCAUUUGACGUUAGCUGCAGAAGAAGCACCGGCUAACUCCGUGCCAGCAGCCGCGGUAAUACGGAGGGUGCGAGCGUUAAUCGGAAUUACUGGGCGUAAAGCGCAUGCAGGUGGUUUGUUAAGUCAGAUGUGAAAGCCCGGGGCUCAACCUCGGAAUUGCAUUUGAAACUGGCAAACUAGAGUACUGUAGAGGGGGGUAGAAUUUCAGGUGUAGCGGUGAAAUGCGUAGAGAUCUGAAGGAAUACCGGUGGCGAACGGCGGCCCCCUGGACAGAUACUGACACUCAGAUGCGAAAGCGUGGGGAGCAAACAGGAUUAGAUACCCGUGUAGGCUCU